rnacentral:lncRNA from 1 species
AUUCUCAGGGCCUUCUGCCAAGGGCCCGCUUUGAUCUCCCUUAAAGGACAGCAUUAUCUGACCAGAGACCCAUGCAGGAGACCUCUCCAGGUACACAUAUUUCCUGCUACUGAAUGGCUUAGACUGGGAUUUGCAAGGAACUACGAAGUCCAAGACCUUUGCCUUUCUUUUAGAAGAAGGCACCAGCUGGUUCUCCAAUGUUGAAGGUCUUCUCCAGAGAUACCUUAAGGUGUGGGGAGAUUACAACUUGCUCAAGGUCUCAUAGCUAGAAGAUGUCAGAGUGAUAACUCAAACCAUGUCACAUGACUCUAAGCCCAAAGCAGCCUCUAGAAGGAACUCUGAAAGCCACAUGUUGAGAUGGCCCCAUUACAGGAUGGAGAGCACCUGAACCCCCAAGUUAUGGACUAGAAGAAGACAGUUGCCCUGGAAAAUCAUCUGACCCACAUUGGACUUUAUGUGAGGGGGAAAUAAACCUUUAUUAUGUUAAGCUACACAA